rnacentral:rRNA from 2 species
AACGCUAGCUACAGGCUUAACACAUGCAAGUCGAGGGGCAUCAGGAAGAAAGCUUGCUUUCUUUGCUGGCGACCGGCGCACGGGUGAGUAACACGUAUCCAACCUGCCGAUGACUCGGGGAUAGCCUUUCGAAAGAAAGAUUAAUACCCGAUGGUAUAUCUGAAAGGCAUCUUUCAGCUAUUAAAGAAUUUCGGUCAUUGAUGGGGAUGCGUUCCAUUAGGUUGUUGGCGGGGUAACGGCCCACCAAGCCAUCGAUGGAUAGGGGUUCUGAGAGGAAGGUCCCCCACAUUGGAACUGAGACACGGUCCAAACUCCUACGGGAGGCAGCAGUGAGGAAUAUUGGUCAAUGGACGAGAGUCUGAACCAGCCAAGUAGCGUGAAGGAUGACUGCCCUAUGGGUUGUAAACUUCUUUUAUACGGGAAUAAAGUUAGGCACGUGUGCCUUUUUGUAUGUACCGUAUGAAUAAGGAUCGGCUAACUCCGUGCCAGCAGCCGCGGUAAUACGGAGGAUCCGAGCGUUAUCCGGAUUUAUUGGGUUUAAAGGGAGCGUAGGCGGAUGCUUAAGUCAGUUGUGAAAGUUUGCGGCUCAACCGUAAAAUUGCAGUUGAUACUGGGUGUCUUGAGUACAGUAGAGGCAGGCGGAAUUCGUGGUGUAGCGGUGAAAUGCUUAGAUAUCACGAAGAACUCCGAUUG